AUUGAACGCUGGCGGCAGGCUUAACACAUGCAAGUCGAGCGGGGUGAUGGUGCUUGCACUAUCACUUAGCGGCGGACGGGUGAGUAAUGCUUAGGAAUCUGCCUAUUAGUGGGGGACAACAUCUCGAAAGGGAUGCUAAUACCGCAUACGUCCUACGGGAGAAAGCAGGGGAUCACUUGUGACCUUGCGCUAAUAGAUGAGCCUAAGUCGGAUUAGCUAGUGGGUGGGGUAAAGGCCUACCAAGGCGACGAUCUGUAGCGGGUCUGAGAGGAUGAUCCGCGACACUGGGACUGAGACACGGCCCAGAGUCCUACAGGAGGCAGCAGUGGGGAAUAUUGGACAAUGGGGGGAACCCUGAUCCAGCCAUGCCGCGUGUGUGAAGAAGGCCUUAUGGUUGUAAAGCACUUUAAGCGAGGAGGAGGCUCUUUUGGUUAAUACCCAAGAUGAGUGGACGUUACUCGCAGAAUAAGCACCGGCUAACUCUGUGCCAGCCGCCGCCGUAA
rnacentral:rRNA from 1 species